rnacentral:rRNA from 1 species
GAUGAACGCUGGCGGCGUGCCUAAUACAUGCAAGUCGAGCGAACAGACGAGGAGCUUGCUCCUCUGACGUUAGCGGCGGACGGGUGAGUAACACGUGGAUAACCUACCUAUAAGACUGGGAUAACUUCGGGAAACCGGAGCUAAUACCGGAUAAUCUAUUGAACCGCAUUGUUCAAUAGUGAAAGACGGUUUUGCUGUCACUUAUAGAUGGAUCCGCGCCGCAUUAGCUAGUUGGUAAGGUAACGGCUUACCAAGGCGACGAUGCGUAGCCGACCUGAGAGGGUGAUCGGCCACACUGGAACUGAGACACGGUCCAGACUCCUACGGGAGGCAGCAGUAGGGAAUCUUCCGCAAUGGGCGAAAGCCUGACGGAGCAACGCCGCGUGAGUGAUGAAGGUCUUCGGAUCGUAAAACUCUGUUAUUAGGGAAGAACAAAUGUGUAAGUAACGAUGCACGUCUUGACGGUACCUAAUCAGAAAGCCACGGCUAACUACGU